rnacentral:lncRNA from 1 species
AUGCACUCUCUUUUCAUUCCCAUACAUCUUUCUUUCUCUUUCUCUCUUUGUCCUUUUCUUUCCUUCUUUUUCUUUUCCUCCUUUCUUUCCUUCCUUUUUUCUUUUCGUUCUCUCCUUCCUUCUUUCCUUCUUUUUCUUUCUUUUUUCUUUCUUUCUUUUUCUUUCUUUCUUUCUUUCUUUCUUUCUUUCUUUCUUUCUUUCUUUCUUUCUUUCUUUCUUUCUUUCUUUCUUUCUUUCUUUCUUUCUUUCUUUCUUUCUUUCCUUCCUUCUUUCUUUCUUUCUGUUUUAGAAUUAAUACUAAGUAUAAUUUCCAAGGCAAAAAAUACUACUAAAGCUAAGAAGUUGGGGUUAGUGACUUGCCCAGGAUCACACAACUAGGAAGUAUCUGAGGUCAUAUUUGAACUCAGACCUCUAGUCUCUAGGCCUGGCUUCCUAUCCACUGAGCUACCUAGCUGCCCCCUAUCUCCACAUUCUGGAAUUCUUCCCUUUCUUUAAGGUACCUCUCAGGUACCUCUUCUGCCUUGAAGCCUUCCAAAAUGCCCUCCCUUCAAACAUUCCUAGAGCUUUUUAUCCAUCCUUGACUACUUCCCCCAUGUUGUAAUUAGCUAAGUUGGUGUUGUAUCCUCCUAGUUGAAUAUAAGCUCCCUGAAGGUUGAUAUUGUUUCAUUAUUGCUUUUGCAUUCUGGCGGCUUACACAAAAUAUUCUUAUAAAUAUCUGCCAAACUGAAUGGACUUCUUAAUGUGUCAGCAUCCUUGACUGGAAAGCCUUGCUGCUGAUCCCAAACAUAACCAGUUGAGACACCUCCCCCCACCCCAGUUUUCACCAAGCUGGACGUGAGGGAUGAUAAAGCCAAAAAUGAAUUGACUGAGGUGGAGAAUGGAAAACCCUAUUUCAGCAGCAAUUUAAACAUCUUGAUUACCCAAGAUAUCCUUUGGGCUCUGGAACAGACCUGCUACCAUUCAGUGAUCUAAAAGUUUGGUCUUUUAAGGUGAGAUAGAAGUACUCACAUAGAAUGGGCCAGGUCUUUUUUUCCCCCUAAAAGGCAAUCAAACGGUUCUCAAGAAUUAAUUGGUCCAAGUAGAGGUGUGCCGGAACCAUUUUGUACAGGCUCACAAGAGCCAGUUGUUAGAAUUUCAGUGUAAGUAUUUAUACCUCAAAAAACAGCAAAGACUAUAGAUUAUGGCUUGAUUCAUUGUUUUGUCAAUUGUCUAGAUUUAAGAAAUGUUGAUAAUUAAACUUAAGAGAAUGCUUAUUGAUUCCGAGUUUAAAUAGAUGGCUUGCCCAAAGGUAUGCAAGCAGUGAAAUCAGGAUUAGAGCCCAGUUCAUUAAUGUGGGGGGAGGGAGUUAAUGAGAUUGCCUGAAAUGAAUUGGGAGGUC